rnacentral:rRNA from 1 species
CCGGCACGGGUGAGUAACACGUAUCCAACCUGCCGUUUACUCUUGGACAGCCUUCUGAAAGGAAGAUUAAUACAAGAUGGCAUCAUGAGUCCGCAUGUUCACAUGAUUAAAGGUAUUCCGGUAGACGAUGGGGAUGCGUUCCAUUAGAUAGUAGGCGGGGUAACGGCCCACCUAGUCUUCGAUGGAUAGGGGUUCUGAGAGGAAGGUCCCCCACAUUGGAACUGAGACACGGUCCAA